CCUCGGGGUGGCGCAAUCGUUAACACAUCCGCCUGGAAGGCGUGAGGCACGGGUUCAACCCCCGUUGAGGA